rnacentral:rRNA from 1 species
CAAUAGCGUAUAUUAAAGUUGUUGCAGUUAAAAAGCUCGUAGUUGGAUUUCUGGUCGGAAGCUCCUGUCCUCUGAUGAGCGUACAAGUGCGUCCUACCAUCCUUCUGUUAACCUUUAAGGCUUUCGCGGCUUUCUAGGGGCUCAGAUAUUUUACCUUGAGAAAAUUAGAGUGUUUCAGGCAGGCUGGCGCCGGAAUACAUUAGCAUGGAAUAAUGGAAUAGGACUUUUGCCUCUUCUGUUGGUCAUGAGGCUCGAGUAAUGAUUAAUAGGGAUAGUUGGGGGCAUUAGUACUUAACUGUCAGAGGUGAAAUUCUCGGAUUUGUUAAAGACUAACUUAUGCGAAAGCAUUUGCCAAGGAUGUUUUCAUUGA